rnacentral:rRNA from 1 species
CCCUUCGAUGUUCUGGGCCGCACGCGUGUUACACUGAUAAAUUCAACGAGUCUAGAACCUGUUCUGAGAAGAAUGGGGAAUCUUGUGAAAUUUUAUCGUGAUAGGGAUAGAUGAUUGCAAUUAUUCAUCUUAAACGAGGAAUGCCUAGUAAGGGCAGUUCAUCAAACUGUCCUGAUUACGUCCCUGCCCUUUGUACACACCGCCCGUCGCUCCUACCGAUUGAGUGGUCCGGUGAGGCUUUGGGAUCUGAGCGGAAAGAGCGUUUCGCUGUUUCUGCUCGGAAAACUCAGUCGAACCUUAUCAUUUAGAGGAAGGAGAAGUCGUAACA